GGACAAUUCACUUGUGCCUGAGAUGAGAAAGGACAGACCUGGACAUUGAGAGGUGAGAACCAUGUGGAUUCCUUCCCACAGGACUUCAGCAUUUCCAGACUGGGAGACAGCGGGCAGUGGGCUGAUGGGAGGAAAGCCCAGCUCUCAACUGAGUCACUGAAUCAUCAGACGAUUCACAGAAUUUGUGUCUACCCUCAAGUAUGAGUCUAGGAAAGGAAAUGUGGUUCCCCAAGUCAAUUUUAUAAAUGUGAAAAAAACAAGAGUACAUGAGGACAAGUAUUUUCAGUGGGGAAUUCUGAGACACAUCCUUCAUCCCAGCAGACUACCAUAGAGGAUGAGGCCAACUCAUCCAUGUGCUAGUUAAAGAGAUGAAUUACUUUCUGUUCCUCUUCAAUUUUCCUGUAAACAUUGUGACUGUGCAGCCCAUUUUAUAUAGUAUCCCAAUCUCAGUAGAGAAAGCAGUCUAACACUGUUGCCAGGAAAGAGAAGGAGAGUGAGAAUUAUGCUGGAGAGGAUUUGUGAGAGCCGUAGAAUCACAGUGGUUGAAAAGGAUCUGUGGAGGUCAUCUCAUCCAAACUCUUCCACAAGCCCAAUCUAAGGCUGCUGAGGGCCAUGUUCAGAUGGAUUUUUAAUAUCUUCAAGGCAGGAAUUUAUCUCCAGGCAGCCUGGUCCAGAGUCUGAUGACUCUUGUGGUGACUUUUUCCUUUAUAUUCAAAGCAAAUUUUCCAUCUUGUAUAUUUUGUCACUUAUCCUAUCUCUGUGCAACCCGAAGGAGUAUAUUGUUCCAUCUUCUUUGUAUCAUCAUGCAGUUGUAGGUAUCAGUGCCACUUCCCAAAGUAGAGCAAAAGCAGCUCCCUCAGCUUCUCCAUUUAUUUCCUGUGUUCCAACAUACAGACUAUCUUGGCAUCUCUGCUAAGACAUACCAAUAUGUCAGUGAUUUUCUUUGGUCAAAAUGGUAAAUAAGAAACAGUCCAAGUGCUGUGGACUUCAAGUGUAAGGAACAGGAUGAGGUCAUUGUUGUAUGCAUGCAUUUUAGAACAGUAAUCUGAAGUUCUGUCUCUUCUAAAUUUAUGCUUAAUUAUCAAAUUAAAGAUGUUUGUCAACAUUGAUGUUUCCCCUCAAAAGAAAAGUUCUCCUUUAAAUGAGUGAUAAAAUGUUGAUUUGAAAGUAAAGAAAGCAAAGACAAGCUUUUUAGUCUUCAGUUCCAUUUGUGAGGAUCAAGGUUCAAAUCCAAAGGCAAGAUAAGCAGAGAAGGGUUAUCUUGGAUUUAAGUAAGGCAACUUGAGGUUGAUUAAAAACUGAAUGAAUGGCUGGGACCAGAGGGUUAUGGUCAGUGGUAUAAAGUCUACUUGGAGGCCAGAGACUAGCAGCGUACACCAGGAUUCUAUACUGAGUCUAUUUUUGUUAAACUUCUUAAUCAUGACCUGAAUGAUGGGACAGAGUGUGCCCUCAACAUGUUUGCGGAUGUCUCAAAACUGGAAGGAGAUGCUGAUAUACCCGAGGGUCAUGUUGCCAUCCAGACGGAUCUGGACAAGCUAGAGAGGUGGGCUGACAGGACCUUCAUAAAUGUCAACAAGAAGUACAAGUUGCUUGACGGUUUAUGGACUGUUUUUUUUGUUUGUUUGUUUGUUUUGGGGGGAAGUAUAUUAUGAUUGGUUAAAACAUACAUAAAUAUUGUCAUAUUUUCAGAGUACUUGAAUGUGAUUUUUAAUAAUCUAGUGCAUUACUUGGUAGCAAAUCCACCAGACAAACAUGCAUGAUUUGAUUUACAAGACUAAAAUCCUACUUUAAUACCAUUUGUUCUUGGGAGAGAUUACUUGCAGCAGUAAACAAGUAAAGCUCAGGUUUUACCUAGCCUUGAAGCUUGUAGGCCUUUUCCAGCAGAGUUCUGCCAAAGUCAGUAAGAGACCUGCCUAAAAGAAAGACUGAGAAUUUGAGGAAAUUCACAGCUCUUAGGAUUUUGAGACAUAGUUUGUAUAUCAGACAUUAACAACCCCAUAAAUCAUGAAGAUUAAAAGAAGAAACUUUGCCAGUAUUGUAACUUAACAUAAGUGUAUGCAAAGAACAAACUGAACUAACUAUUCAGUAUUUUUUUUAACGUUUUUACAGAUUACAGUAACUUAUCCAGGGUAUGGCGCAUACACUUUUCAUUUUAGUUAAGUAACAACAGCUUUUAUCAGUUGAUUUCUACACAUCCUGCCAUGGCUGCAUUUUUCAAACAUCAUGGUUUCAGCAGAAAUAUGACAAGAACUAGAGGAAAUCAUGCUUUUAUAGAUAGUUAAGAUUUUGUUUGGACUUUGGAGAAAAGGGCUGAGGGUAUAAUUCCUCUUCUGUUACAUUUUCAGUCAUCAUUUUGCUUACUAUAUAUGAAGCAACUCUAGAAAGAUAAUCUGCUAUAUAUUCUUUCCCUAGAGAUGCUUUUACAUGUACCACAUGAAAAAUAAAAAACAUAUAUAGAUUGUUUUUAUGUAACAGAGGGUUUAUAAUCAUUGCUGCGGGUCCAUAACAUAGGUUUGGAAUGUGCUGUGAACUAAUGUCAGAUCUUCACUGUCAUCACCCAAACCAUUAGUGACUACCUGGUGGAUGAUCUGAUGUUCCAGAAACAGUUAUAUGCCAGUACUGACUGCAACAUUUCUGUAUAUGUCAUUGAGAGAAAGAGGUUGUUGACCUAGUCAACCUGUAAGGCCCACAUAAAUCUUGACUGAUGUGGUAUCACCACAAAUGCCUCUUAUUUCCUUGUUCAGCCUGAAGGAUUUUCUAUGAUAAAUUAGUUUUCCUCCUUAUCCAGACUCACCCCUCUCAUCAUUUCUCCCAUCACUUUUCUUCCUUUAGUUGUCUGAAGUCCUUCUGUUGGAAUCUGUCUGUGCAACAGAUGUAUUAGGAUUUGGAAACUGGUAUAGAAAAGUGGUUUGCCCAAACUACAGUGGGUUCUGGAUAACUGAAAACUAACCCAGGGAGAGCAGGAGACAAACAGAACAUUAUGAUCUAGGUGCUACUAAAGUCUGAGAAAUUAAUUCCUUCUCUGAAAGAUGACACUCUAGUAAUUAUUAUUUUUAAUGAAUCAUCAGAGUUUUUCUUAAAUUUUUGUUAUAUAGGAAAAUAUGGGGCCUGUGCCUCAAAGAACAGCUUUUCUAAUGAGGAAGAAAGGAAGGAAGGAAGGAAGGAAGGAAGGAAGGAAGGAAG
ensembl:lncRNA